CGUAGGGCGCGAGCGUUAAUCGGAAUUACUGGGCGUAAAGCGUGCGCAGGCGGUUAUGUAAGACAGAUGUGAAAUCCCCGGGCUCAACCUGGGAACUGCAUUUGUGACUGCAUGGCUAGAGUACGGUAGAGGGGGAUGGAAUUCCGCGUGUAGCAGUGAAAUGCGUAGAUAUGCGGAGGAACACCGAUGGCGAAGGCAAUCCCCUGGACCUGUACUGACGCUCAUGCACGAAAGCGUGGGGAGCAAACAGGAUUAGAUACCCUGGUAGUCCACGCCCUAAACGAUGUCAACUGGUUGUUGGGAAUUAGUUUUCUCAGUAACGAAGCUAACGCGUGAAGUUGACCGCCUGGGGAGUACGGCCGCAAGGUUG
rnacentral:rRNA from 1 species